rnacentral:lncRNA from 1 species
AUGCCGGCAAGUCCGGCCCCAUCUGCGGAGAUCUGGCGGCGGGGGGGGGGGGGGGGGGGGGGGGGAUUGGGGUGGGGUGGGUGGGGAAGGGCUGGGUGUGUGCCCCUCCCCUCGGGCCCAUCUGUCCAUCCCUCGGCCUCUCAUCCCUCCAUCUGUCCACCUACCGGCCGCCCAUCCCCCCCACCCCCAGCCACCGGGAAGGGGAAGACAUGGCCGUCUCCCCCAAGGACCGCUGAGGACCCCCCAAUUGACAUAGACCGAGGGAGCCACAAACUCCCCUCCCCCAAAGCCACACAGAGGCCUGGUCCCACAAGGAACGAGCCCCAGCCCCCGGCCGGGAACCUGACGUGGACGCACAGACACACACCCUCGGAGACACACAACCCGCAGACACACACAUACACACACACAAAUGGACACCAGGACGGGCACACCCGGCUACACAAACCCUCGGAUGGACAUCCAACCUGGACACAAACACCCAGCGCAGCCAGCCCCGCGCACACACUCGUGGGGGGGGGGGGGGGAACACACACCUGGGCACACAACCCACGCACACACACCUGCACACAGCCCCUCCGAUGGGCGCGCGACAGCCCCCCAGACACACAGCCAGAGGAGCAGCCGCUCGGGGGACACACGCGCGCGGCCGGACACAGCACCUCGGCUCGACACCCAGCACACACCCGGAUGGCCACACAAGCAGGGCGCCGCACACGCCGGCGCCGGGCACACACAGGGCCGCGCGAGCGCACGCCGGGCCCGCCGCAGCGCCGCGGACACACACUCACACGCUCGCACGCUCACACCCGCGCUCCCACCGGCGCCCCCGCCCGCCGCCUCCCCGGCCGCUGCGGGCCGCGCUCACCCAGCCCGGGGGGGCCCCGGGCCCGGCCCCGCCGCCGCCGCCUCGCUCCGCGCCAUGGUGGGGGGAGGGCCGGGGGAGGGGGCGCGGUGCCGCGGGGCCGCCUCCCUCCCGCCUCCCGCCCUCCCUCCCGAGCCGCCGCCGAGCUCCGCCCUCCGCGCCGCCCGCCGCCGGAGCCCAGCCGCCACCACCGCCGCAAGGGGGGAGGGGGCGCCGACCGGAGGGGGCGGGCGGGGCGGCCGCGCAGCCCAGACCCCCGCUUCGGGGCCCGCCGCAGACCCCUCUCCACUGCGGAGCCGCCGGCCCGCCCCCGACCCCUCCCCAGCCCCACCCCCAGCCCUGCCGGCUUCCCCAGAGACCCCCAGACCACGCCCCAACUGGCGUGGGGACUCGGCGGAGAUCUCGGGAGCGUGUCCCAAUACCCUGGGGAACCUCAGGCCAUGCCUUACCUCCUUGGAGGACCCAGACCAUGUCCUACAGCCACCCAGGACCACCAACCAUGUCCUACUCUCCUUGGUGACCUCAGACUCUGCCCCAUACUCCAUCGGGGACCCCAGACCAUAUCCCAGCACCUAAGGGGAUCCGGAGCACCCCCAUCAGGGACCCUAAAUCAUACCAUAACAUUCAGGUAUGAAUGUUACCACGCCCCAGAGAGGACCCAAACCAUAUAUCAAUAUCUAGGGAGACACCAGAUCAUGUCUUACUCCCUCUGGGGACCCAAACCACAUCCUACUGCUUCUUGGAGACCCCAGCAGGUCCUUCCACACACCAUUCCUUGA